UUCCCAUUGGUGGAAGGCUGUGCUAGAGGCAAGCCGCAGCCAAUCAGAUUGCGCCAGUCCCCCACGUGCUUUGUUUCUCAGCUGUAGUGGCGCUAGAAGACAACGGAGUAAACAACACUUGAUUGCUGAUAAGAGAAUACUGUAGUUUGUAUGCUGCAAUUCAUAAAAGGUUGUGCAAACUGUAGUUGAUUAUAACAUGAUUAUUAUACAGCUCGAGGCGAUCGAGAGGCAAACAACUUUUUGGGUGAGCUGAAGCCUAGCCGAGCUGAAUUUGGGGGCGAGGCGGGAUACACCCGGGACCGGUCACUGGUUAAUGGCAGGACAAAUACUACCGUCAUUCACACAAACAAUAUAAUUACAGUCAUGGUAGUAGUAUGUAAAGGAGCAUUUUGAUGAGGAGUCUGCCAUUUCACAUGGAAAUAAUUGCUAUAAUAAAAUCACAAGACUCUGUUAGAAAUGGAGAGUGAGAUCUAGAAUUCUUGUGGUAUUCGCUGGGGUAUCGAUUUCAUCGAGACUUGGAAAAGGUCUGUAAUGAUUUACAGGGAAUGUUAGUGGAUGGCCGUGGACAACCGAGGGAACCGAGGAAUUUGAAAGCUCACAUGGAAAACACACCGUGUAAAAAUGAACCUUCCAUCUGUCCAAAAAUACCACGGCUAACAAAGACAGACAAACAUUCACACCUCUGGACAUUUGAGACGAGAGUCUCACCACUCAUACACUUGCUGCCCAAAAGUUACACAUGCAUGCACAUAGACAAGAUGUGUUAAUAAAGAAAGCAGCAUUUUACUGUACAUGUCAAAUUUAUUCAACAUCUUUAGUAUCGUAUAUUUCUUGCUGGCAUAAUCAUUAGUUUGGAUCAUACAGUAAGUGGAGCGGACAACAAGUUCAUCUUUAAAAAAAAACAAAAAAAAAAACAACACACAUCUUAGGAUUUGGUAUCAAUAAAAC